rnacentral:lncRNA from 1 species
UCUCGAGGCGCGAGGCGCGACGGGGAGGGAGGGGGGGAUGGGCGCGCGGGCGGGGGAGGGGGGGUCGACCCGGCCGCCGCGCGCGCCGUGCGCCCGCGCGCCGUCUGUGUGAACGUCGCCGCGGGGCUGGCGGCAGUUCUUGUGCUGGCUGGCGAGAAACCAAAACGUGUUUUUGAAAAAAAGCAACGACGACGACGGCGGCGCACUUCACCCUCGCGCCGCCGCCAUGGGCGCAUGCGCCACCAAGUGCUUCGCGCGCGAUCCCCCUCUUCGCUCGUCAUAUCCGCCUACCAGAUCCGCAGAAGACGAAUACCGCGUCGCGAUGCUCGUCCUCCCGCUCGUUGAGGACGUCAAAACCCGCGUCGUGGCUUCGCGGCUCAGCAGAGGGUGGAGGGACGCGGACAAGAGCGCGGCGUCGUUGCCGGCGAAGCUCGACGGCUUAGAUCUUUACCCCAAUAAUCCUCGGAAUACUUACGGACGCGUGGUAACAGCCAGCUACGAGUACGUGAUGCGCCACGAAGGCGUGCUCGACCUGCCGAAGGAGCGGGUGGAGGCGCUCCUGACGCGCUUUUGGGAAACGCCUCCCACGCACAGGUUAUUCAAGGACACCCACUAUUUUUGUCAACGCGCCGCUUAUAUCGGCAACCUGGAGCUGUUGCAGUGGCUGCGCGAGCACGACUAUCCGUGGAGUACAGCCACGUGUGCAAGCGCCGUGUUUGGAUCACAAUUGGAGGUACUCAGGUGGGCGUUGGCGAACGGCGCUCCCUGGGAUAAGUAUGAAACAACCUUCAGCCGACCGGGCAACCGCGAGAACGUGAUAACGUGGCUGUUGAACCCCCGUAAAGGGGACCCACGCCCCUCCGAUUGGGAAAAGUACCUUGAACUGCUCCGAGAGGCGGGCAAACGACAGGUGAGUAAGCGACUCGUUGCGCGAGGAUGAUGUAAUAGAUGCGCCUCUGCAUCACACGUCGACAACCUUCACCGCGGCUCGCUCUCGUCCCCGCGGUUGCGGAGAGAAAAAAAAAAAACCAAAAAUUUCGCAGAUCUGAGGCGACGGCGCGCCCGUCGUGGAAAACUUUUCCUCGGAACGCGCGACCCCCCCGCCGCGCGCGUCCCCUCGCCCGCGCGCGCCACACCCUCCCGCGCCCGCCCGCGACGACGCGCGCACGCGCGCCGAUCACGAUCGCGCGCUUCUUCCCACCGCUCAAACCCGCGCGAACGAGCGACGCGCGCGCGCCGCCUCCUCGCCUUCGCGUCGAAGGAGAAACUAUGCCGCCGCCGACGACGACGACGACGACGAGCGAGAGACGACGCGACGCGCCGCCGCCGCCUCGGUCCUCGCGCCCCCCGCGCGCGCUCGUCGAGGUCCUCGCGGAGGAGCACCGCGACGCGUACGACAACAUCCUCUCCCGCCUCGACGGCACCUCGCGCGCGCUCCUCGCGGAGGCGUCGCCCAUCCUCGCCGACGCGCAAACCGCGCGCCUCGCCCCGGGCGAGCGCGCGCCGCGCGUGAACAACGAAAGACUCGUCGACUCCGUGUCCCUGCUCGAGCUCGCCCUCCGACGAGGGCUCUGUCGCAAGAGCUCGGUCCCGAGCAGCACGGCGUGGACGCUGAACGGCGUCGACUGCGUCAUCCUCGCCGCGAAAGCCGGCAAGCUGGACGUGCUGCGGCACCUCAAGGCGCGUUCGUUCUAUUACCACAGUGGUCCCCGUACGGCCGCAUCGGCGCGGUGAACGCCGAUCCUUAAGGACUUUCUCUCCCGGCGCAUCUCUCCGCCCGCCCCUCGCUUUCAUUCCCCGCCCGCGUCGCCUUUCAACUCCGCUUCUGACGCCUUUGAACUCCACCCCGACCCUCACUCAAGAAGGCGAUGGGGUCGCCGCCGCACGAAGACGCCGCCGUCGCCGCCGCCGCCGCCGGCCGCGUGCGCGCGCUCGAGUGGUGCGUCCGCGAUAACGGCGUGCGACCGCCCCCGCGCGCGUGGUUCCAAGCGGCGCGCGGCGGGCACGUGCACGUGCUGACGUGGCUGCACGAGCGCGAGAGAGAGCGCGCGCGAGGGGACGUGUCGAGCGCGUGGCUCCCCGCGCCGGGGCCGCCGCCGCCGCCGCCGCCGGGGAUAGCGGCGCUGAUGGAGGGCGCGGAGGGUGUCCUCCUACACGCGCCCGCACACCCGGAGGUAGCCCUCCUACACGCGCCCGCACACCCCGCGAACGCGACAACGGCGCUCGCGGGCGCGGACGUAGCCCUCCUACACGUGCCCGUCCACCCCGCGAACGUCGUCGCGAUUCCCCCGCCCGCGCCCGCGCCGGCGGCGGGGAUCGAACCGCCGCCGUACUACUGGUACGGCGAUCGCCUCGGGCAGCUCGCGUUGCACGCCGCCGAGGGCGGGCACCCGGACGUCCUGCGAUGGGUCGACGACAUCGAGAGCGACCGAGUGACGAAGAUGGACGUCGUCACCGCCGCCGCGAAGGGCGGCGACGUCGUCACGCUCGCGGCGCGUCCUAGUUGUCGCGUUGGUUCCCGUGCGACCGCGUCGGCGAGGACUUCAUCUCACGGCGUUCGUUCGUUUCUCUCCGCCCAACCCUCGCUUCUUUCAAUAAUCCCGAUGCGCCGCGACGCCUUUCGGCUUCGACUGACGAUUCGUCGCCUCGUAAAACGGACCCUCGCUCGACCCACAGUGGCUCCUUCGCCGCGGGUCGGUCGUCGACGAGAGCACGUGCGCCGCAUCCGCCGCGGGGGGCAAGCUCGAGGCGCUCAAGUUCUUACGCGUGAGCGCGGAGUGUCCGUGGAACGCGUGGACGACGACGCGCGCGGCGAACGCGGGGCAUCUGAAGACGCUCGAGUGGGCGCGCGCGCGGGGGUGUCCUUGGGACGAAAACGCGCUUCUGCGCGCGAUGCGACGCGGCCGCGUCGACGUCGUGGAGUGGUUGUUGAAGAAACGCUGCCCGCGGCCGGCGACGCGGACGACGGUGACGCUGUACGGCGAUCGCGCGACGCUGCGGCGGAACGUGGACGCGAUGACGCGGCUCAUCGUAGAGUAUGAGCUCGACGUCGGGCUGGAGGCAGCAGCCUCUCUCGACGAUCUCGAGCACCCGCUCGACUUUCUGGCGCUCCACGGUCUGGUGGACGACGCGGAGACGGCGUGACGAGGAGGACGAACGACGAAACGACGACGACGCGCGCGUUUUACGCAAGAAAAGAAUGAAUACUACAUACCCGAACGACUACAGUACCUUCGUACAUCUUCGCUACGCGCGCUCACUUCGCCGUGGACGCGACCCACGCGUCGACGCCGCCCUCGACCCACGACGUCGCCUUCGCGCCCGCGUCCGGCGGUCGCUUCUUCGACGGCGCCGGUUUCGGAAUCGGUUUCGAUUUCGUGGGGUAAACCGCCGUCGUCGCCGUCUUCGUCUUCGCCGAAACCGUCGCCGCCGCCUUCGGCUCUCGUCUCGCGCGCGACAACGCGCCCGCGCCGAGAUCGAUCCCGAACGGCUCGCGGUCCCUCGUCUCGCGGUCCUUCUUCAGCUUCGACGCCGUCGUCGGCGCGUCGUAUCCGGGCCCGCGGCCGAAGGCGAAGGACGACUUCGCGGCGGUUGGUUUUUUAGUCUUCGGCGGCGGCGGCGCCGCCGCCGCCGGUGGACCCCGAUACGGCGCCCCCGCGGAUGCGACGCGCCCUCCGAACCGCCCGCGGCUCGGCGUCGCGACGGUCGUCGCUCUCCCGAUCGCGCCGCCGCCGCUUCCACUCCCGCCGCCGUUGAUCGGACGCGCGAUGUGCUUCUUGAUCAGUCCCUGAGGGUGAUUGUCCACACGAGCGAACGUCGGGGUGGAGUUGAAAGGCGUCAGAAGCGGAGUUGAAAGGCGUCGAGGUGUGUCGGGAUUGAAACCGAGGGAUGGGCGCAGAGAAUCGCCGGCGAAAGUCCUUAAGGAUCGGCGUUCACCACGCGAACGCGGUCGUAUGGGGACCAGUGUGAUGAUACUAGAACGCGCCUGAUAGGCGGCCAUGUACGCGCGCACGGCGGUCGUCUCUCGCUCCUCCUUCUCGCGCUUGUACAGAUCGAGCCACUUGUACCACGCGUGCGAUAACGUGCUGUUGCGGAACAUCGACAGCGCCCUGCCCGCUUUCGAGCGAAGCGGUUUCAGCCACUCCGUGUACCCGGCCCACGCGAGCCAAAAACGCCUCGCGAGGUGGCGUUUAAAAAACGCAUCCGCCGCGGCUUUCAGCUCCGCGCCCGACGCCGCGCCCGCCGCCGCGUCCUUCGCGGAUUGAACGAUCGACCGCACGUUUUUAAUCAAGUCCCACGCCUGCUUCGCGGCCGCGCCGUUCUCCGGGCCCGCGCCCUUCGCGCGCUCCUCCGCGAGGUCCGCCGCGCGCGCGGACUCCGACGCGAACGCGGACGCCUUCUCCGCCAUCAGUUGCGCCUCGUGAAACUUCCCGUCGGCGGCUAAGUUCGCGGCUCGCUCCGCGGCGUCGUCCGCGGCGUGCGCUUUCGCUGUCGCGUCCUCGAUGGCAGCCGCGGUGGCGGCGAGCGCCCUCGCGUGCGCUUUCGUGUCCAACACGCGCGCGCGCACCGCCGCGGCGGCGUUCUCGGACCACAUCGCGAAGCACUCGCCGACGCAGCGAAAUUGAAUCGUUCGCAUCAAGUUCAACACGGACAGUCGCGUCUUUUUCGCGGCGGCGGCUUCUUCGCGCCACCCGCGCAGCAGCGGCGCGGCGUCGCGCAUCGCGACCGCGCGGAACAAACGCUCGACGCUGUCGUAGAAUUCUUUCGCCUUGACGACGCGCUCGCGCCACGCGAGGAGAACUUUCGCCCGUCGACCCCACACCCGCCGCGCGUCCGCGGCUUCGAGCAGAAUCCUCGACCGACGGUUGUAGUCCGCGUUUACGACCCAAGCGCUGAACCGCACUUUCAACACCGUGUUCUUCAUGUACGCGAGCCCGGCGGUCAUGAUGCGCUUCCGCUCGCUCGCCUCGCGUCGGCCCAAGCGUCCGCGGUAGUGCUUCUGCACGCGCGUCGCCGCCGCGGUGCAUCGCCGAAGAUGCCAGAAGCGCAUCGAAGUCAUCAUCUCGCGCGCGACGUCCUCGCACGCCGCCUCGACGUCGCGCUCGAAGCGCGUCAGCGCGUCGGGGUGCAUCGAGGAUUUCGCGCGCGCGUGCGCGGCGGCGAUGGCGUGCACGACGCUCUCGCGCUCGCGCGCCUUGGCCUCGCGUUCCUCCUCGGCGGCGCGUUCGCGCGCCGCCGCCUCCGCGGCUCUCGCCGCGAGUCUCGCGUCGAGCUCGUCCAACACGCCCGUCACCGCGCUGAGAAUGCCGACGUUCCCGUCGUCUUCGCCUCUCGCUCGCGCUCUGGAACGCGUCGCGUCGUCGACCGCCCGCGCGUGCUUCGCGCGCACGUCUCUCGCGUACGACGACGCCGGCGCGCGCGGCCGCGGCGGCGUCUCUUCCUCGACGACGUCGGACAUCGCGUCGUCCUCGAGCCUCGGCGCGCGGCGAUUUGUCGUCGCGACCGGUGGAGAAACGCUCGAACGUCGAACGUUUCUCUGUGUGGUGGAGUCGUUCUCGUUCUCGUUCUCAUCGGCGUUGUCGUCGCACAGCACGUCGCGCAGCGCGCGCGCGUUCAUCAGCAUCCUCGCCUUGACCGCCGCGGGCGGCUCCGGCAUCGGCUUCAACGGUUUGAAAUCUCGCUCGCGUAACAUAUACGUCCUCUCCGUCGCGAUGUUCAACGGCAAGGACUCGUACGGCGCCAUCGGUCUCGGCAGCGGCGCGCGGACGCUCGCGAGCGUGUGCUUCGACGUCCGCAGCGCCGCGUCCGCGGCGCGCCGCGCUUCCUCGAACGCCGCGAGGUCCGCGCGGUAGGACCAUUCGAAGGCGGGGUUCGCGGCGAUCGCGUCGUUCGCGGCGGCUCUCAACGGCGCCGCGUACGCGGGCGUCGAUUCGUAUCCCCCCGUCGUUCGCGACCUCGACGCGUUCCAGAGCGCGUCCGCGGCGGCGAGCUCGUCGAGGACGACCGUGCGUCGCGGCGCCGGGGGCGGGAGCGGCGGGAUCGGCGAGAACGACGACGACGACGACGACGACGACGCGUCGACGUCGGCGUCCGAAUCCGACCCGCGCUCGUCGUCCGACGGCGCCAUCGCGGCCGCGAAUAUGGACACGAACGGGUCGACCGGCGCCGCGGGCGGCGGCGACGCCGCGCCGCUCGAGCUCGGCGAGUUCGAGCGCUCCGAAGCGGACGGCGACGACCGGUCCGUUCGUCGUCGUCGUCGUCGCGGCGCCUUCUCGUCGUCGUCGUCGUCCGACAGACCGCACUGCGUCGCCAUCUCCACGAGCGUCGGUCUCUCGGACGACGACGACGGCGACGGCGGCGACGGCGGCGGCGGCGGCGGCUUCGCGCGCAUCGGCGGCGGCGGCGGCGGCGGCGCGCGCUCCGCCGCGAUUCGCGCGCGCGCUUCCUCCUCGAGUCGAAUCUCUUCCUCGCGCGCCGUCCGUCGCGCCUUCACGGCGUCCGCCCUGGACCGCAGGCGGUCCGUGAACGCGUCGCGCCUUCGACGCGACGCGAGCGCAGCCUUGCGCAUCGGCGACGGCAUCGCGUGCGGGAGUCCGUCGCCGGCGACCCCGCCCUGGUCGUCGAGGCGCUUCCCGGCGCGCGCGAACGCGUCGACGUCGUCGUCGUCGUCGUCGUUGUUUUCCUUCCCGACGGCGACGGAAUCGCGCGCCCGCGGAGUCGUCGCCUCCCGCUCCGCCAUCCUUCCCGUCUCUCUUCUUCGCGCGGGUUUGGUCGAUCACUCGCGUCGUCGCGGCAUGACGGAACGAACCGAGCGACGCGCGCGCGUCGUCGUCGUCGUGGCGCGUGCGGCGCGCGGUGCGGUGUCCCCCGCGGAUUGGGAAACGGUCGCCCGGCCAGCUCCAACGGAAAGUCCGAGACGGAGCGGGUGCCGAGAUCGAUAGUCUACGCGCGCGUCCGCGCGCGCCGCACGCCGUGGACGAUGACGACGGCGGCGUCGUCCUCGCCGCGCGCGAUCGUCGCCGCGGCGGCGAGGUCGACUACCGCGACGUCGCGCGACGUCGCCUCGCGCCGCGCGCGUCCGCGCGCCGCGCCCCGUCUCUCGCGAUCGAGCGAUGCCGGCGCGGUCGCCGCGCGCGCGUCGUCCCCGUCCUCGUCCUCGUCCUCGUCCUCGCUGACGAGCUGGCCCGGCGGCGGCAGCGGCGUCGUGACGAACCCCCCGGACCACGCGGUCGUCCUCGCGUCGCUGCGCGCGCGAUGGGACGCGUCGCCGUGGGACCUCGCGACGCGAUGGGUCGUGACGAACGACCUGUGGUGCGUUCUAUACACUGGUCCCCAUACGACCGCGUUCGCGUUGUGAACGCCGAUCCUUAAGGACUUUGCCCGGCGCAUCUCUCCGCCCACCCCUCGCUUUCAUUCCCCGCCCUCGACGCCUUUCAACGCCAACUGACGCCUUUGAACUCCAGGGAUCACGAGCGCGCGCGAUGCGGGCUCUCGACCGAGUGGCGACUGGGGUGGACGAACACCAAGUCGUACGUCGGGAUCACGUACAUGUGGGGGGCUGGCGACGACGAGCCUUCGCUGGGGGAGAUUUUCCUGUCCAAGUACCUGAUGUUAGACCCGAGCUUCGACAACGCGCUGGGGUGUCUGCGGCACGAGAUCGCGCACGCCAUCGUCGGACCGUCGGGUGCGUUCUAGUUGUCACACUGGUUCCCAUACGACCGCGUUCGCGUGGUGGACGCCGUUCCUUAAGAAGGACUUUCUCUCCCGGCGUUCGUUCGUCACUCCCCGCCCACCAUCCCCCGGUUUCGAUCCCGACGCGCCUCGACGCCUCACGACUCCACACACGCCUGACGCCUCACGACUCCACCCCGACGUCGCUUCCUGUGGGCAAACGCCCUCAGACCCGGGGCACGGCGCGGCGUGGCGGAACGUCUGCGAGGCGGUGGAGUGCGACGAGGCGUGGGCGACGGACACGACCAAGGCGUUCUACGACCGCCCGCUCGUGGUGCUCGGGUGGAGCGCGCACGACGCGAAGGAGAUCGCGGCGGGGACGUACGUUGUGCGCGGCUUGGAGGGGAAGUCGACGCUGCCGCCGGAAAAGUUUGAGAGAAACGUGUGGGACAAAGUCACGGGCGAGCGGACGACGUACGUCGCGGAGGACGGCGUCCGCGUCAUGUGACGCGACGCGGGCGGGCGGGCGGGCGGCGAGCGCAUCUAGCUAGCCUGUCGUGCGUGAUGCCUGCCUUAUUCACGGCGCGCGCGUCUAUCCUAUGAAUCCUAUGAUAAACACAAAACCCUACCUACGUAACUAAACACAAAACCGAUCCAUGCGGCUCGCCCCGUCAUCGUCACGACCCCCCCCACGGUCGAAAGUCCAGAACCGCGAUCGCGCCCGUCUUGGCGCCGACCGCGAGCGUCUCCCCGUCCGCGUGCACGCACGCGCUCGGUUCGUUCCCGGCGCCGUCGAGGAGCGCGAACGCGACGGUCAACCCUCCGUCGCGUCCGUUCCCCGCGGCGUGUUUUCCGUCGUCGGCGUCGUCGUGAUAAUAGGCGACGACGCCGUCGCCGGGGGCGACGGUCACGACCACCGCACCGAACGCUCGCACGUCCGUGACCGGCGCGGAGUGGUCGUUCAACACCGCGAGGCACGCGCCGCCGUGGGAUAUCUCCCACAGACGCACGCAUCCGUCCGCGGCGCCCGUGACGAGCCGCGGAAGGAGAGGCGAGGUCGAAGACGACGAGGAGGACGCGCGUCGACCGCCGCCGCGCGACCAGAACGUCGCGGAUAGGAUGCCGCCCUCGUGCGCGGAUAAGAUGGCGAUCGCCGCGGCUUUCUCCACGUCCCACACGAUGAUGACGGCGUCCGCGCCGGCGGUGGCGCACAACGCCGGCGCGGAGACGUCCGCGUUGGACGCGUCACGCGCGCCGCCGCGGCGUCCGCGUCCGCCGUCGUACACGUCCAUCGCGAGAAUCGCGUCCGCGUGCGCGCGCAUCACGCCGACGCACGUCGCCUCCUCCAUCGUGCGUCCUCUUCGUUUCGCGGGCGCUUUCGGUGGCACGGGCACUCUCCACAGGCGCAGCGACGCGUCCCUGGACGCGGUCAGCAGCGAGAUGAACGCGUCGUCGGACCGACGAUUCGGCGGGAACACCGGACGGACGUGCCACGUCACGUCGACGUGCCCGCGUAAAACCGCGAUCGGCGCGCCCGUCGACGCGUCCCAGAGCUUCACGUCCGCGUCCGUGGACGCGGACGCGACGAUCCGCGAGUCGUCGAGCGAAUCGUCGUCGUCAUCGUCGUCGCCGCCGUCGUCGCCGUCGCCGCCGUCGUCGUCGCGGCGAUCGACGGGCGGCGGCGACGGGUGCGACGCGGGAGAAUACGGCCGCCGCGGCAGCGGCGACACCUUCGAGCUGCUCUUCUUCCCUCGCUUAUCGCUCGGCGUCUUCGCGUUCGUCUUCUGCGUCUCGCGGCGGCACGGGACGAAGCACACCUUCGUGACGGACCCGCCGUGGCGCCACGACCGCGCCGGGCGCGACUUGUCGUACCCCCACAACGUGACUCGCCCGUUCGUGUCCCCGGCGACGACGCGCGACGAGCUCGCGGCGACGCUCGCGACCCACGCGCCGUGCGCGCCCUCGAAGCUUCGCAGGAGGUCCCAUCCCACGCCGGGGGCGGUCCUGGACGCGAUCUCGUCCCUGCGCCACGCGUACACGGCGCCGUCCCAGCCGCCGCUGACCACGACGGCGCCGACGCGGGGCACGCGCGUCGACGCUGAGGGUCGAGGGUCCACACGAGCGAACGUCGGGGUGGAGUUCAAAGGCGUCAAAGCGGAGUUGAAAGGCGUCGAGGUGUGUCGGGAUUGAAACCGAGGGAUGGGCGGAGAGACACGCGCGCCGGGAGAGAAAGUCCUUAAGAAACGGCGUUCACCGCGCCGACGCGGUCGUACGGGGACCAGUGUGAAUCAGAACGCGCCUAAGCACUCGACCGACCACGUGUGCUUGCGCAAGUCGCAGCGCGCGUACUGGCCAUCGGACCAGCGCUUUCGGAGCGUCGCCGCGCGUUUGAAGAGCCUCCGCGCGCGCGACGCCGACGUCUCCGGUGCCUCGCGGCGGGGCGCGGGAGGAGGCUGCGGCGGCGACGGCGCGACGCGGCCGCGGUUCAGACGGAACGGCCGCGGCGGCGGCGGGGACGGGGACGUCGCAAACGAAAACGCACCCCCCUUGGCCGUUUCAUCCUCCUCCUCCUCCGCGCCUCCGUCCGGCAACAUCCCGAUCACCUCGUCCAAGUGCGACUCCCACAUCCCGUUCGCCUCGCCCGCGUCGCGCCACGCGCGGCACGUCCCCGACGCCGCGGCGAGCGCCUUCGGCGGGAGCUUUCGCAUGACGACAUCCAAGACGUCGUUCGGUAAGUCGAACGCCUCGGUCGCUUCCGGGUCCGGCAGACGCCGCGCGGGGGUCGGGGGCUGCUUCGCGAGCGGUGGUGCCCGCGACGUUUCCUCUUCCGCAGGCGUCGCGGGCGGCGGCGUCGGCACGCGCGGCGGCGGCGGCGGCGGGAGCGGCGGCGGCGUUUGAAUCAGACUCGGCGGGCGGACCACCGCGCGCGGCGGCGGCGUCGCCGCCGCCGCUGCCGUCGCCGCGUUCGCCAGCCCCGGGGUCGUCGGCCGCGACGGCGGCGCGCGGUUCGCGGGCGGCGUCCGCCGCGACCGCAGCCGGUCCAGCGACGCCUUCACCCUCGCCGCCGCCGCGGAUAUCCUCUCCGCGAGCGUCCUCUUCGGCUUGCGUUGGCGUCGCGCGCGCGGCGACGCGGUCGGCGGCGGCGCGGCGGCCGGCGGCGGCGGCGAUCGAGGCGGCGUGGCCGGCCGAGGCGCCGGCGGCGACGCGGGCGCCGGGGCGGACGCCAGCGCCGGCGCCGGCGACGGCGACGGCGACGGCGACGGCGCGGAGGUCUGCGGCGCUCGCAGCCUCCGCUCGUGCGCCGCCGCGAACAUCGCCGCGCGCUCCUCGCGACUCGCGGGCGGCGGCGAAGACGCCGCGGGAGGAGGAGGAGGAGGAGGAGGAGGAGGAGGAUGGGGCUGCUGCGGCGGCGGGAGCGGCGGAAUGAGCGCCUCCGCAUCCUCGUCUCUCGCGCCUCUCGUCGGCAGGAUGUGUGAGAGCGGCUCUGGCAGCCUCGAGAAGAGAUUCUCCGACGCCCUCAGCAGCUCCCGCAGCCGUCGCGUCUGCGGCGUGCUCUGCUGCUCCGCGGCGUCGCCGUCUCCCGUUCCCGUUCCUCCAUCGCGCGGCGGCGGCGGACGCGCAGCCGGCGUCGUCGCCGUCGCCGUCGUCGUCGUCGCCGCCGUCGUCGUCGUCGUCGUCGUCGUCGUCGCCGUCGUCGUCGUCGUCGUCGUCGCGUCUCCGCGGAACUCGGCGAUGAGGUCUCGGAUCCCGACGACGCGACGCGUCACCGGCGCCGCGCUCGGCGGCGUCGGAACCGGCGGCGGCGGCGGCGGGGCGUCCGCGCACGUCUGGCGAUGCGACGACCAGUGCGAACGCUGGCACGCGCGCGAGCAGUAUUUCGCGCGCUUGCCUGCGGUGGGUCCACGCGGACGGGGGGCGAGCGGACGGGUGAGGAGAACGCUCGGGACGUCGACGGCGACGCGAAGGGGGCGACGCGGUGGUGGUGGAGGAGGAGGAGGACGACGAAGAGGGCGCGGCGCACAUUUCGAGCAUCGGAACGCGGAGACCGCGCCGCAGGCCUCGCACGAGUCCGUCCGCAUCGUCGUCGAGGGCGCCUGCGCGUUUUCAGAUCGCGCGUCUCGCGGUGCGUCGGACGGCCGCGCGUCACCGCAUCGCGCGCGCGUCGCGCGACGUCAUCGCGGGGGAGAAGGCCUCGACGACGACCUCGCGAUCGUCCGCGGUGACCUCUCGUCGAGCACCGGACGAGCGCGUCAGCCGCGCGGUGACUAUGUGGUGGUGGUGACAUCCGUAUCGGGCGAGUGAUGAAGUUUGCGUCGUCAGCGUCAGUGGAGACGGACCCAGCCAGACGUGACUUCGACUGCGAGUGCUGCUGAGAUGACGAGUGCGUGUUAAGGCUGGCGGCUGAGGUGUCAUGACAACGAGACUAUGAUAAACAGCGCCCGCGCGCGCGCGCGCCCGCGGGGUUUGAACCACGCUCCCAUCGCCACGCUUCGACAGCGUCGACGCGUCGCCGCGUCGCCGCCGGUCCGCGGAGAGGCGAGAGACGACGAGACGAGAGAAAAUCUGUGAUUUUCAUCUUCGCCUCGCCGCCGCGCUCUCCGCGACGAGCGAAGCGUUGCGCGACCGACCACCCACCGCGACGAUCGGAUCGGAUCGAAAGGACUCGAUCGCGUCGGGCGUCUCACUUACGCGUCGACGAUCGUGACCUCGACCUCGACCCCCGGCUCGAUGGAGAUGGACGUGAUCUGCUUCACGACGUCCGCGGGCGAGUGCAGGUCGAUGAGGCGCUUGUGGAUCCGCAGCUCGAAGCGAUCCCACGUGUUGGUACCUUCACCGCACGGGGACUUGCGCACCGUGAGCUUGAGGCGCUUCGUGGGCAUGCGCACGGGGCCCUUGACCUUGAGGCGCUUCUCCUUCGCGCCGCGGAUGAGAUCCGCGCAGACCUUCUCGAGGUUCGCGACGUUCUUGGAGGUGAGCGUGAUGCGGAUGCGGUGGACGCGAGCGGCCUCGCCGCCCUCUUCGCCCUUGCCGCCGGGAGCCUUGUAAGGAGCAGACAUUCUGGAGGAGGAGGAGGAGGAGGAGGAGGACGGAGAGGGGAGGGCGUCAGCGUGAUGAUGGGGGCCACGACGGAGGGACGCCGUGGACGACGGCGGAGCCGCCCCCUCCAGAAAGCUCUCAUCUAGGGUUUGGUUUUCGAUUUUUUCUCCGCCCGUCCGCGCCGGAAACGCGCGCGCGAGCGCGACGCGAGGGGAGCGCGCGACGCGCACCUUAUGAAGUUUGCUUGGUGUGUUGUUGGUGUACCGCGAGUCAGACGCCCACUUGGUAGGACCUGUCACUGACGGUAAGAAAGGGGGAUGAGAGGCGCGCGGUGGACGCUUUAUGCCGGCGACGCGACGAUGCGAAGUUUCGCGGUCGGUCGCAUCUCGCGACCGACCGCUCUCGGCAGUUCGUCGAGAACUUGACGUCGCGAGUGUUGACCGGACGAGCGCCACAACGAACGCGCGCCCGAUCGACCGCGUCGGUUCGUCGCCCGCACGAGAUGAGUCUCGCAUUCGAUGAGUUCGGCCGCCCCUUCAUCAUCAUCAAGGUUCGUGGCGACGUCGUCGCGACGCGACGCCCGCGCGCGCCGCGUUUCGACGUUCCCGCGCCGUCGUCGUAGACUAAAAAGAUCGCGCGCGAUCUUUCUUCAUCCUGCCGUCAUCCGUCGCGCGCGCUGACCCGCCUCGUCCUCUUCUCUCCUCUGAUCUCCCAGGAGCAAGGCGCGAAGACGCGCGUCCGCGGGAUCGAGGCGCAGAAGGCCAACAUCCAAGCCGCGAAGUCCGUCGCGAGGACGCUCCGAUCGUCCUUAGGCCCCAAGGUGCGCGAUCGUUCAACGCCGUCGUUUUUCGAAAAAAAAAAAAGCUCGCGCGCGAACGAACGCCGAGAUCGUCCCGCCCGCGUCCGCCUCAGAUCCCUCCGCGAGCGUCCCGCCGCGAAGCCACCGAGCGCGAGUCUGACCACGUCACGCGCGCUCCCUCUCCCCACGACGAUCGACGCAGGGCAUGGACAAGAUCCUCCAGAGCGGCGACGGCGAGAUCACGAUCACGAACGACGGCGCGACGAUCCUUCAAGAGAUGGAGGUGGAGCACCAGGCGCGUUCUGUCAUCACACUGGUCCCCACACGACCCCGUCCGCGUGGUGAACGCCGAUCCUUAAGGAGUUUCUUUUCCCGGCGUGUGUUGCAUAUCGCCGCCCACCCCUCGCUUUCAACGCCCGCCCGCGACGCCUUUCGACUUCAACUGACGCCUUUCAACUCCACCCCCGACGUCGCCGCUUCGCGCGGACCGACCCUCAUCAGAUCGGAAAGCUCCUCGUGGAGCUGUCGCAAUCGCAGGACUACGAGAUCGGCGACGGCACCACCGGCGUCGUCGUCCUCGCCGGGUCGCUCCUCGAGCAGGCGGAGGUGUUGCUCGACCGCGGGAUCCACCCGCUGCGGAUCGCGGAGGGGUACGAGAUGGCGGCGAAGGUUGCCGUCGCGGAGCUCUCGCGCGUGAGCGAAAAGUUUGAAUUCAGCCCCGACGACAUCGAGCCUCUGGUGCGGACGUGCAUGACGACGCUGUCGUCCAAGAUCGUGAACAGAUGCAAGCGGGAGAUGGCGGAGAUCUGCGUGCAGGCGGUCAUGGCCGUCGCGGACCUGGAGAGGAAGGACGUCAACCUCGACCUGAUCAAGGUGGAGGGAAAAGUCGGCGGGAAGCUCGAGGACACGGUGCUGGUGAACGGGAUCAUCUUAGGCGCGUUCUAUCUCACACUGGUCCCCAUACGACCGCGUUCGCGUGGUGAACGCCGAUCCUUAAGGACUUUGCCCGGCGCAUCUCUCCGCCCACACCACGGUUUCAAUCCCGACACACCUCGGCGCCCGCCUUUCAACUCCGCUUCUGACGCCUUCCAACUCCACCCCGACGUCGCUUCGUCUGGACCCUCGACCCAUAGACAAGGACAUCUCGCACCCGCAGAUGGACAAGGAGAUCAAGGACGCGAAGAUCGCCAUCCUCACCUGCCCGUUCGAGCCCCCGAAGCCGAAGACGAAGCAUAAGAUCGACAUCGACACCGUGGAGAAGUACGAAGAGCUGAGAGCGCAGGAGGAGAAGUACUUCAAGGACAUGGUGAAGCAGUGCAAAGACAGCGGCGCGACGCUCGUGAUUUGCCAGUGGGGCUUCGACGACGAGGCGAACCACAUGUUGAUGCACGAGAAGCUGCCGGCGAUUCGCUGGGUCGGCGGCGUCGAGCUCGAGCUCAUCGCGAUCGCGACCGGCGGUCGGAUCGUCCCGCGGUUUCAAGAGCUCGCCCCGGAGAAGCUCGGGACCGCGGGGCUCGUGAAGGAGGUGGCGUUCGGAACCACGAAGGACCGCAUGAUCGUCAUCGAGGACUGCGCCGCGAGCAAGGCGGUGACGGUGUUCGUGCGCGGCGGGAACAAGAUGAUGAUCGACGAGACGAAGCGGUCGCUGCACGACGCCAUCUGCGUCGCGAGGAACUUGGUGCGAUCGAACGCCAUCGUGUACGGCGGCGGCUCGGCGGAGAUUGCCUGCGGCAUCGCCGUCGAGGAGGCGGCGGAUCGCGUCCCGGGCGUGGAGCAAUACGCCAUGCGCGCGUUCGCCGAGGCGCUAGACGCGGUGCCGACGGCGCUCGCGGAGAACAGCGGUUUGCCCCCGAUCGAGACGGUCGCGAAGGUGAAGUCCGCGCAGUUGAAGACGAAGAACCCGCAUCUCGGCGUGGACUGCAAGGAGACGGGGACGGACGACAUGAAGACGCAGGGCGUGUUCGAGACGCUCAUCGGGAAGCAGCAACAGAUGCUCCUCGCGACGCAAGUCGUGAAGUUGAUCCUGAAGAUCGACGACGUCAUCACCGCGGGGAGGUACGAUUGAUUGAGCGGGCGAUGGACGGACGGACGGACGGACGGACGGACGACGACGACGGCGGCGAGAAGAGUCGUCGAAGUCGGAGUCGGGGUCUGUCGCGCGCCGGCGAAAGUCAGUCGUUCAAGUCGCGCGUUUUCGUCUCCGCGGCUGUCGGCGAGCGCGAUUGAAUAAGACUGACUGACGCAUUGUUUGGGACGGGGAGAGGGAAGGGAAGGGAGAGGGCGAGGAGGGACGCGACGAGGAGGCGCCGAGGAGGAGGAGGGGGAGGAGAGAUUUAGAUCGCGAGCGCGACGUGAGCGAACGGCGCGGUAGUAGUUCAUCGAUACACCACGAGAGAGGUCAACUCCAAACGCGGCGCGCGGCGACGAAGAGAAAGCGUUGUUAGAUCCGCCGCUGCAGCGAUGUUGACCGAGCGGAGCUACUCAACGGAUGGGAAUUCAUUCAUCCCCCCCGCGCGCGCGGAGGGACGCGCCGCCGCCCCUCGCGCGUCCCACCACCGCGGCGGAGCGGAGCGAACGAUGGCGGACGACGAGUCUAACGAGCCAUCGCCGCCGUGCGUCGCGAUGCCGCCCGACUGGGACCCCGCGUUCGACCUCCUCCCCGGCAACGUCGUCGACGACGAGGCGUACUGCGUCCGCGCGCUCCUCGAGCUCGUGGACGAGGUGGUCGCGCUCGAGGCGACGCGCGAGGAGCUCGUCGUGGACCCGGACGGGGAGGACUGGUGGCGCGACCCGGAGGCCGUGGAGGCCGCGGGCGCGGUGACGAUGCUCGUGGAGGACGAGGUCGCCGCCAUCGAGCGCGAGGAGGAGGAGGAGGAGGAGGCGACGACGACGGAGAUGGCACGCGACGAGGACGAGUCGUCGUCCGCGGCGAACGCCAUCGCGUCCGAGCUCGUCGCGCGGGUCGCGGACGCCGCCGCGGAGACGGCGGAGGAGGAGGAAGAGGACGGCGACGAGGAGGACGGCGAGGUGGAGUCCGCGCCGAGGAGGUCGGACCCCGCGCAUCUCGAGCCGCUGCCGGAGCCGGACGACGACGACGACGACGCCGUGCGCAUCUCCCCGCGGUCGAACGAUUCCGACGCGGGCGACGACGAGGAGUUGACCGGGGCGUUAGACGAGAUGCACAGAGCGAUGGACGCGGCGGGGAUGAACGUCGACGACGUGGAGGGCGUCGACGAGCUCACGAGGACGGCGAUGACGACCGCGAGGGACAUGAUGGCGCAGGGCGGCGCGGACGGCGCGGAGGAUGCCCCGGACGCGUACGACGACGACGACGACGCCCGAAAGCGAAACGAAGAAGAAGAAGAAGAAGAAGAAGAACCUUCUUUCCGCGAUUCCCUCGUCGGCGACGACGACGACGACGCGGCCUCCUUAGUCGAGUCCACGGGCGAAGUCGGCGGCGACGACGCGCGCGACGGAGGCGCCGCGCGCGAAGCCGCGGACGACGCCGAGGGGUCCGUCGCCGGGAGCGUCUCGGGGGGCGCGGGCGCGCGCGGCGGCGACGACGUCAGACGCACGGACACGGGCGCCGACGUCCUGACCAUCCAUCACCCCGACCCCGACGACGAUGAAGACGACGAAGACGACGAAGACGACCUCGGCAUCUACGACGACGACGACGACGACGACGAGAACGAUAGCCACGACGGCCUCGACGGCCUCGACGGCGGGAUGGACGAGGAGGAUUUCAUCGCGUUCGGCGGCGCGCGGCUCGCGAAGGCGCCCGCCGCCGCCGCCGGGAACGUGUAUCGCCCCAGCCCGGUGAAACCGUCGAGAGACGACGGUCACGCUCGCGGUCAUGGUCACGGUCACGACGAUGAACCGGAACCCGAACCCGAACCCGGGGCCCAAGAUUCAUCGCCUGAACCGACCGCGGACGAGCUGUACGGCGAGGGCGAGUACGUCCACGCGCGGCGGCCGCCGCCGCCGCCGCCGGCGGCGCCCCGGCCCGCGGCGAAGCGCAAGUCCGCCGCGGUGAGAAGGCUCGAACGCCUCGGUCUCAAGCCGCGCUCGCCGGACACGGAGCUCGUCGAGCGGUCGAGCUCUUCGUUCCCAUCGUUCGACGACUUCCGGCUCGCGUCGCCGUCGCCGGGCGCGGGCGGCGCGCAGGGCGGGUACCGCCCGCCUUCGCGAGGGUUCGGGCGGAGGAAGGGCGUCGACGUGUCGCUCUUAUCCGACGGGGAAGACGACGACGGGGACGCCUUCGGCUUCGGCGCCGGCGCCGGCGUCGCCCGCAGUCGCCGCGACGACCACCGCGACGAGCGGGAGCAGGAGCUCGCGCGAGAGAGGGAGACGGCGCUGCGGGAGCGAGAGAUGCUUCGCCUGCGCGACCAAGAGGCCAGGUGGCGGCGCGAGCGACGCGAGCGCGAGGAGCGCGCGCUGCGACAAGAGCGGCAGCGGCUGGAAGACUUGAGGCGCGAGCUUCAGGAGAUUGAACUCCGGAAGCGCCGGCAGGAGGCGUUCGACGCGCGCGGACGCGAGGAGGAGAUGGAACUCCGCGCGAUUCGGCUGGAGAAUAAAAAGAUGCUGCGGAGAGUCGAGCAGAGCAGGAUCGCGGCCGCGCGGCCGCCCGCGCGACGCGCGCGGACGCCGCUGCACGUGCGAAUGGAGCGCGACUACGUCAAGAACGUCGAGCUGAAGAACCAGAUGGAGUACCAGCGGAAACUCCGCGAGCGAAGAAAGUUUACAAACGCGCCAGAGUUUGCCCCGCACGCGAUGCGAGAGUACCGAGAGGUCAAACCUGCGCCGUCGCCGAAGGACCGCGGGGACCCGUUCGGCGGCGGCAUGGACCGCGGGCACGUCCUCGGCGGGAUCGACUUACGAAGAGGGCGCAUAUCCAACGCCAACGCCAACGCCAACUCGAACCACCCCGGAGGAAGACGCGGCGGCGGCGGGCCGUACAAGUCAAAGUUUCAACGCGCCGCGGAGCGAGACGACGGCGCGGCGCGCGAGAGGCGAAGACGCGAGGAACACGCCGCGUGGGAGAAGUCCGAGCGGCAGCGCGCGUACUCCGAGAUGGUCUCCAGGCGACAUAAGCCCCACGUCAGCGAGCGCGCGAAGCUGGAGCUCGUCGCGCGCGCGGACCUCCCGCGUCCGGGGUUUGAAGAGAGCCUGGGUUCGCCCGCGCACGUGCUCAGGCGCGUUUUAUCUCACGCCGGUCCUCAUACGAACUCGUCCGCGCGGUGAACGCCGUUCCUUGAGGAGUUUUCCCGGCGCGCGUUUCUCUCCGCCCAGGGUCCCUCGCUCACAAUCCCGACACCACACCGCGACGCCUUUCAACUCCAUCUGACGCCUUUGAACUCCACCCCGAUAUCAUCGCUUCGUGUGGACCCUCGACCCUCAGACGCGGCAGCCGGGUGUCGCAGGUCAAGCGCGAACGGGCGCACGCGGAGCGGCGCGCGGAGCGGCGCGCGGACGACGCCGCGCGCGCGAGAAGGCGAGAGAGAGCCGCGAACGCGCGGCCGCCGAGUCAUUACCCCGGGUACGGGUACAAAGACUCCGCGGCGGCGGCGGCGGCGGCGGCGGCGAGGACGCGGAACCGAGCGGCGUACCGGUUCCUCGCGCCGCCGGACCCGGCGUUCGAUUACUACGCCCUGGACGAGCGCCCCGUCGGCGCCGCGGGGAAGAAUCACUCCUCGUACGACGUCGACUACGACCCCGUGCGAUACAGCGACGACGACGACGAGCGGGACCCGUGGGAGGCGCUGGCGUCGCCGGGAGACUACGACCACGACCACGACGACGGCGACGGCGGCGCGAUUGAUUUCGACGGCGACGGCCGCGUGAGGUGCGUUCUAUACACUGGUUCCCAUACGACCGCGUUCGCGUGGUGAACGCCGAUCCUUAAGGACUUUGCCCGGCGCAUCUCUCCGCCCACCUCUCGCUUUCAAUCCCCGCCCUCGGCGCCUUUCAACUCCAUCUGACGCCUUUCAACUCCACCCCGACUUCGCUUUGUAUGGAACGACCCUGAGACGGGCGACGCGGUACCCGGCGGUACCCGACGGCGUCUUCCACGGCGCGCACGAGACGCGCGCGCCGGGCGAGCACACGCUGAUGAGUGCCUCCCCGCGCCGCGCGCCAGGGCAGAGCUACAGGACGAUGCUGCGGGAGAGAGCGCUCGCGGCGGCGGAGGCGCGCGGCGCCGCGGCGGCGGCGCGCGGCGGCGGCGGCGACGGCGACGACGGCGGCGGCGACGGCGACGGCGACGGCGCGCCGCCCGCGGAGAGGGUGCCGGACCCGAGGUUCGACUACUACGCGCUCGAGAACAGGCCCGUCGGCGGCGGCGGAGGAGGGCCGAAGCUCGAGGACGAGGACGGCGCGGGAGAAGAGGACGGGGCCGACGAAGACGGCGACGACGACGACGACGACGACGACGACGACGACGACGAGGAGGAGGACGACGCCGACGCCGACGCCGACGGCGAGGACGCGACGCGCGACGACGACGAGCCGCCCGACGCCGCGGAGACGACCGUCGCGGAGGACGAGGAGGAAGAAGCGGACGAGGAGGAGGAGGAGGAGGGAGACGACGACGAAGAGGGCGAGGAGGAGGAAGGAGAGGAGGAGGAGGAGGAGGAAAGCUGAUUUCGGUCCGGUCCGGUCCCAGUCCGGUAAAAUCCGGUCCGCAUCCGCCGCGCCGGUCCGCGUCUUUCCUUCCUUGGACGCGGCCGAAUCUCGGAGAGCGCGAUAGUAGCCCGCGCGCCCUCUUAAAGCGCGCCUUCGCCGCACGUUUCCCGCUUCGUAUCGCGCGCCACCGCGAAGCGUCGUCGCACUUCUCCCCUCGCGCCGCCGCCCCCCCGCCCACGCGCGCGCGCGACGAAACCGCCGCCUCCGGUCCCUCCCCUCCUCUCGCGAUGCCUCGCUCGUCCGUUUCGCGCGUCGCGCCCGCGCUCCUCGCGCUCGCGCUCUUCGCCGGCGACGUCCUCGCCGCGGACGCGGCCGUGUAUUACGGCCGCCACCGCGGCUGGGGCGGCGCGACGGUCGUUCGCCGCACGACGGUCGUUCGCCGGCCCACCUACGGCCGCGGCGUCGCCGUCGUCGGACGACGCGGGCUCCUGCAGGACGACGACGAAUACGACGCGUCGUACGAGGCGCCGGACGUCGAGGACGACGUCCUCGACGCCGCCGCGCUCGCGCCCGCGCCCGCGCCGGCGUCCGCCGCGGUCGCCGCGGACGGCUGCCUCACCGUGCUCGACGUCGUCGAGACGCGUCCCGAGCUGAGCGCGCUGCGCGACGCGCUCGCGUCGCUGCCGAACAUCCGCGCGGCGAUGGACGACGCGUCGCGGACGGACACGUUCUUCGCGCCGACGAACGACGCGAUCGACGGGCUGACGCGAUGGGGCGGCUUCGUGGAGCGCGCCAAGGUGCGACCUCCGGCGACGCGGCGACGGCGGCGAACGCGCGGUCCUUUCUUCUUAGGGCUUCCGUAAAUCCGUUCCCUUGGAUUUCUCGGAUCGACCUCAACCUCUCCGAGUCUCAGCUUCUCUUCUCUUCGGCGGAAGGGCGGGGAAGACUCCUUUCCCUCUCCGUCCUCUCUCUCGCUCACCCUCACCCCUCCCCCCUUACCCUCUCCCCCGAUCGAUCGCGCGCAGGGCAUCGACGAGAUGCUCGGCGACGUCUCCCUGAAAGCGCUCAUCAUCGCCUACCACGCCGUCCCGGGCGUCGCCUACGACGCGGCGACGCUCGCCGAGCUCGGCGCCUCGGGCGCGUCCUUCGUCCCUUCGUCUCGCGCACUAGUCCCCAUACGACCGCGUCGGCGUGGUGAACGCCGAUCCUUCAGGACUUUCCCCGGCGUUUUUCUCCGCCCACACCUCGCUUUCAAUCCCCGCCCUCGAUGUCUUUCAACUCCGCUUCUGACGCCUUUGAACUCCACCCCGCGCGGUCAGGCGUCGACAACUACCUCGACACCGGCCUCGCGCGCAUCCUCGCCGCGGGCGACGUCGUGGACGACGACGCCGGCGGCGGCUCGUCCGCCGCGGAGCCUCUCGUCGUGGACGAGCACGAGGGGAACGUCUUCAUCAAGGGCAUCGGCAGCGAGGCGAAGGUUUUGACCGCGGACGUCGCCACGUGCGGCGGCGGGUUCGUGCACCUUAUCGACGCGGUGUUGUUGCCCAUCGACGGCGACGGCGUGCUCGACGAGUUUCAACAGCGGCGCGUGAAGGCGAUCCGCGACCGCGCGCGCGCCAUCGCGGAAACGCGGCGCGCGGCGAGGACCGAGGACGAGGACGACGUCGACGAGGACGAGGACGACGCGGGGACGGCGGCGGCGCCCGCGGCGGCGCCAGCCGCGGCGGGUCGCCGCGGACGCGGCGGCGGCCGUUCGCUGCUCCAGGCUGCCCGCGUCGACGUCGAGGGCGUGCUCGAAUCCGUCGGCGCGAUGGUGAACGAGAUCCAGCGCGUCGUCGAGACCGCGGACGAGGACGACGUUCGGAAGAUCGUGGACGCCGUCGGCGAGAUGGUCGAGGACGUGCGCGAGACCGUCGACGACGCCGACGCCGCCGACGCGCCCGCGCCCGCGGCCCGCCGCCGCGCGCUGAAACAGCUCGACGACGCGGACGCGGACCUGGAGAUGCUGAUGCCCGAGGUGCCCGACGAGUGGGGCGAGAUGGAGAUGGCGCCCGCGCCCGCGCCGGCGCCCGAGAUGAUGACGCGCCGCCGCCGCGCGCUGAAGCAGGUCGACGUGGACGUGGAGUCGCCGAUGGAAGAGGUCGACGAGUGGGGCGAGAUGGACGGGAUGGCGCCCGCGCCCGCGCCGACGCCGACGCGCCGCCGCGCGCUCAAGCAGUACGAUCUCGACGACUACGAGAUGCCCGACCUCGACGGCGACCUCGCGGGUAUGGCUCCCACGCCCGCGCCCGCGCCCGCGCCCGCGCGCCGCCGCCGCCGCCGGCUGCUGCAACGGGCGACGCUCACCGACGUUGGUGGGGCGAUCCAGACCGCGGGCGAGGACUUGGUCGCGCGCGUGGGAGACCUCAUCGCGGAGGCGACGGACGAGGACGUGAUGGACGGGAUGGCGCCCGCGCCCGCGCCGAUGAUGGCGUGAUGCGAGCAGAGACGAACGAACGAACGGACGGACGGACGAACGAACGAACGAAGCCGCGACGCGUCGCGAGAAGAGAGAAGGAACGAGAAAAAGUAAAAGCCAAAAAAAGAGAGAACACCGCGCCGCCGCCAGCUUGGCGCUCUUUUGAGAUACGAACACGAGCACGCACGAACGAAACGUAACACGAAACCGAAACCGAAACGACGCGCGCGUUACUCUCACGACGUACGAAGGUAGUAUUGUAGACCACAUCUGAUGGUGUAUCUAACGACAAGCUAACGGCUACUUCGGCGGCGGCGGCGGCGGCGGCGGCACGCGUUGCAUCACCGGCGGCGUCCCCGUCCGCGGCGGCGCGCCGACGCCACCGAGUCCGCCCACGAUCCCCGGCGGCGGCGGCACGGUCAUCAUCCCCGGAGGCGGCGGCGCCAUCCCCAUCCCCAUGCCNNNNNNNNNNNNNNNNNNNNNNNNNNNNNNNNNNNNNNNNNNNNNNNNNNNNNNNNNNNNNNNNNNNNNNNNNNNNNNNNNNNNNNNNNNNNNNNNNNNNCGACGGCGACAACAGCGGCGGCGACGACGACGACGACGACGACGACGACGACAAAACGCCGCCGCCGCCGACACACCACCGCCGCCAGCUCCCCCCCAGCCCCCCCAUCGAGGAGACGCCGCCCCCCCCCUGCGUCCCCCCCGAGACGCCGCCGACGCCGCCGCCGCCGGACGCCCCCCCCGACGACCCCCCGCCGCCGCCGCNGCCGAUACCAGAGGGCAGCGACGGCGGCGGCGGCGGCGGGACGUCGUCGGGCGCGUACUCCGGCACCGGCACCGUCAGCGUCUCCCCGGGGACGCACCCGGGCGGGAGCGUCACCUCCACGAUCGGGCCUCUGGGGAUCUGCACGCGGACGUGUUUCGACAGCGACGGCGUCAUUUCGUCGUCGUCGUCGCCGUCGUCGCCCUCGCCGCCGCCGCUCUCGCCGCCCUCGACGACGUUCCCGUGUCCCUCCGGGACUAUAAACUUGACGAACCCUCGCGCGUUCGCUCCGUCCGACUCCUCCGGCGGCUCCCCGUCCGGCGGCGGCGGGAUCCCCGUGAUCGUCGUCCCCGCCGCGGACGCCUUCGCCUUCGCGGCCUCGGGGCCCGCGCCGCCGCCGCCGUCGCCCGCCGUCGGAGGCGCGAGCCCGGGGCCCGAGGAGGACGACGACGCGAUCUUCUUCUUCGUCAGCAGCCCGAUCGGAAAGGCCAUCUUCUUCGCGCCGGCGGCGGUCGACGCGGUCGUCGUCGUCGUCGUCGUCGUCGUCGUCGUCGUCGCGGCCGCCGUCGCGGGCUCGCCGCCGCCGCCGCCCUUCUCGCUCGUCGUCGCCUGCGCCUUCGCUCUCUUCCCCCCCGCGGCGACCGCGCCCUUCUUCUUCGCGGGCCCCUUCUCCUGCUCCGCGAGCUCGGCGAAGUACGCGUCGCGCUUCCGCUCGCGUCGCUUCCGCUCGAGCUCCUUCUUCAGGUCGAUCUCCUCGCCCGGGCGGGGGAUGGGCGGGGCGCUCAUCGGGUGCGACGCGCGGAGGAGGAGGCCGCGGGAGCGGGGCAGCGCGCGCGCUCGCGAUCGCGCGCGACGCCGAGUCGGCGCCUCGUGGUCUGCGACGCGACCGCAUGCUGCAGAAGAGAGUGAACGUUCACUUUUUUAUUCUCCAGCGUGGAUGUUUUAAACCGGUCAGCAUCACAACGCGCCGCACGCGAACGAUGCGGGCCCGCGCGACGCUGUGCGUCCUCGCGACGGCGCUGCUCUUCGUCGGCGGCGUCGCCGCGCAAGAAUGCGACGCGACGGACACGCUGUGCCACCGCGCGAAAGCCGCGGCGGCGAGCGCGCCCCCGAAGAUGAUCCCGGACGACGCGCCAGAUCUGUCGUCCCCGCCUCGUCCGACGAAGACGGCCGAAGACGACCCCUCGCCCCCCGAACCGUCGUCGACGCGCGUUGCCUCGUGCGCCGUCUGCGAGGCGGCGCUCACGGAGCACGCGGCCGCGGUGGACGACCUCAGCGCGGAGCUGACGUCGAUGAAGGCGUCCGUCGCGGACGCGGAAGCGCGCGUUUUGGCGGCGACGAAGCGCGCGGAGGAGGUGAGACUGCUUCCCAUACGACCCCGUUCGCGUGGUGCACGCCGUUCCUUAAGGACUUUUCCCGUCGUCACUCUUCACCCGCGCUUCCCUUUCAACGUUUGACCGGUAAGACGUUCGACUGACCGAUCGCUUCACCCACGCAGGAGGCGUCCGCCGCGUCCGCGGCGUCGACGGAAGAGGCGACGACGCGCGCGAGCGAGAAGAUCGCCGCGCUGGAGCGCCGGAUCCUCGAGGAGCGCGACGCGCACGCGACCGAGCUCUCCGCGCUUCGAGAGCAGCACGCGGUCGCGGCCGCGGCGGCGGAGGAAGCGCGCGCGGAGGCGGAGGCGGCCGCGAAGGCGGAGGAGGAGGCCGAGGCUUCGAGCGGAGCGGAGGGCGAAGAAGAUCCGUGGUUCCCGCCGUGGGUGCGUCGCAGAGCCGCCCACGCGACGGAGCACGUCGUCGGCGCCGCGGGGUUCGCGAAGCAAAACGCGCGCGCGCUCCUGGCGUACGUCGGCGUUCUCGAGCAGGCGGACGAGGUCUUCGCUUUCAUCGCGACGAAAGCGGCGCCGCACGUCGAGACGGGAAAAUCGCUCGCGAUCGCCGCGUGGGGCAAACUUCGCGAGCUCUUCGAGCACGUCGUCGAGACGUUCGCGAAGGCGCGUCGGAACCUCGGGUUCCUCUGGGAGCACGUCCAGAAGUCCGGGCGCGCGCGCAGGGAGUACGAAGCCCGCAAGGGCGGCUGGGACGUCGACGAGGGCCCGCCGAGGAAGAGCCGCACGACGGCGGAGUACUGGUCGCGGCAGGGCGCGAGGGCGGGCGAGCUCGGCGAGGAGGCGCUGGAGUGGUCGCGCGCCGCGUGGAAGAGACUCCGCGGGUGGUGGACCGGCGCGAGCGCGAGCGCGUCCGAGAAGGCUGCGUUCGUGCGGGAUAACGUGCGCAGGCGCGCGACGCCGAAGAUUGUCCGGUUUAAGGCUGCGAUCGCGAAGCUCUCGCUGCCGCUCGCGGGCGCGGUGGCGACGCGAUGGCCGACGCUCCCCGCGUGGUUCCUCCGCCGCGCCGGGCCGCUUCCGGAGAAGUAUUCACUUGACCCGGCCGAGCUCGCGAAGCCGAUGGCGGAGGUCUUCUUCUGGAUCCUCGUCGCGAUGGGCGCGUCCUCGAUCGUGUACUGGACGGUGUUCCGGACGACCCCCGGCGACUCGCUGCCGGACGACGCGGAGUUUGAGAUCGUGCAUCUCCCCGCCGACGACGGCACGUUCGUCGGGCGCGUCGUCGGCGGCGGCGUGGACGUGCUCGUGACGCUGCCGGACGUGCAGACCGCGGAGCAGUGCGAGAUCAUGGUGUCCCUGAACGAGGUCCGCGUGAAGGCGCUGGACGGGUACCACGACGUCAAGAUCGAGAUCCCGAGCGAGGCGCGGGGGCGGUGGAACGCAGACGAGGGCGGCAAGUGGAGGAAGAGCGCGACGUUCGACGUCCGAAAGGGCGUCUUGAAGAUUCGUCUGCGGCCGCCGACGCCCGCCGCGGAGGCGAACGGCGCGGUGAACGCGGCCGAGAUCGAGGCUGGCGUCGCGGCGAUGAAGAUCAAGGGCGGCGGCGGGAGGGACGGCCCGGCCGCGGCGGGGAAGCCGCCGCUGUCGCCGCCGCCGCCGUUUUCGCCGCUGGUGCCGUCGGACAAGACCCCGGGGGUGAAGAGCCCGACGCCGCCGGCGGCGGCGGCGGCGGAGAAAACGUCGGAGAUUCUCCCGAAGCCGAAGAUCCCGACGAAGGCGAAGAAGACGCGCGCGGCGAAGGCGGCCGCGGCGAAGGCGGGGGGGGGGUAACUGAACGCGCGCCGAGGAUGACGAAGACGAAGACGGACGAGCUAUUGAAUUUCUUUCUAAUAAACACGAUCUCUGUUCACGACUAAACUACGAUUCUAAGUUGAUCGUGACGUUCGACCGCCGCGCCCUCUCCGCCGCCGCCUUCCUCGCGUCCUCCGCCUUCGCGCGCGCCGCGGCGACGGACGCGUCGACGACCUUCUCCGUAGAAUAAAGGGUGGAGUUGAAAGGCGUCAGUUGAAGUUGAAAGGCGCCGAGGGCGGGGAUUGAAAGCGAGGGGUGGGCGGAGAGACACCCAACAGCUAUGGGUAAUGAACCUGUGGGCACAAUUUCAGCAUCGGCGUCGGCUUGUACGAGCUCUUCACGAACGUCGUCAUGUCCAGCGCGAGCACGCAGACGCUGUCGACGUAUUCGAAGAACUCGCUCUUCUCGACCCAAAACGCGCCGUCGUCCUCGAACACGGGGCGCAAAGCCUUCUGUAUCUCCGGGUGCUUCUUCCACCCUGGUCCGUCGUCGACAAACCUUCCUCUCGUGAGCUCCCCGCGUCCCCAGGUAUUCCGAACGAGCAACAUGUCUAUACCGCUCCCCGCGACGUUCUUCUCGACCCUUAUGAGCGUGUACGCGUGGUUGUCGAUGAAACCGUCCGCGAGCGUCGCCGCGGUGUUCCCGUCCCGCAUCGCGGAGCAGCACAUCGGGUAGUUUGCCUUAUCGUACGCGUACAGCGCGUCGAUGCAACCGUCCUGGGUUUUCGGCUGCACCACGGGUUUGCCGUUCGCGCUUGGCCACGGUAUCCUGUAACGACCUUCCCCGUUCCGUUUUUGCACUCUGUUGCCGCGCUUUGCCCCGGCGAUGUUCCCACAGCGAGCGAAGUCCUUGAGGGUAAAGUUAUACGCGUUGCGGCAUCUGGUGAGAAUCCUUAAUACCUCUCCUUCAUUCCCGCGGUGCCCGAUGGCGUUCCACCCGCCGCAGUGCGCCACGAGCGCUUUCUCGAGGUAGCACGGCCACAGCUCGGCGCAGUCGGAUGUCGCCACCCCGAGCUUGUCCCCGCUGUCGACGUCCACGGCGAGGCGUUCGUUCACGACGACGUCCACUUCCCGCGCGACUGGCGCGCUCUCGAGAUCGUAAAGCGUUAUCGUGUACUCGUUCGCAGUGUUCGAGCGCGGCAUCUCGUCCGCGCCUUUCGUCUUUCGAAACAGCUUCUUGAUCGCGCCGGGCCACUCCGCGAGCGCGGCGAACGUGCUGAUCAUGUAGCAGUUCGCGACGGAUCCCUGGUUGAGAUCGUUCGGGCUGAUCGUGUUCCACAGGCAGAGGGACGGGACGUCCGCGAGGCCCUGGCCGCGCCCGGGGGAGACGCCUCGCGUCUUGACCGUCUUGCCUCGAUCUUCUUUCACGUACGGCUGGAGCCAUCGCUUUUCGUGUCCGUCGUCUUUGACCUCGACGUCCGGCCUCAGCGGGUGGCACGUCCACUCCAGAACCGUCCAGCCUCCGCUCCUCUUAUCACACGCGAGCGACGACGAUUGUUUGGUCGGGCGGUAAAACAGGGUGCAGUCCUGCUCUUCCCAGUCCUCGUCGUGCAUGUCCGGAAAGUACCUCAUCGCCACGUACUUGUCAGGGUGCGCUUUGAAGUCCGCUAUGGCGUUCCGUAUCGUCCCGCGUCCGCCUCGGCGCUCGACCUCCUCACAUUUGUCACCGCCCUUGAACCACACGGCACCGGAGUGUCCGGGCGACGUCUUGAGCACCCACGGGCUCCCGCGAGCACGACCGCGCGAGCGGGCGAGUGAUUCUGAGCGGGCGCGUGAUUCUGAGCGGGCGCGCGAUCCUUCGCUUCUUUAGGGCGCGCGUCCGACAGCUCGCGGGGGGUCGCCCCGGUGGACGCGCCGCAGCCCGUCGCGCAUGUCUCGAGAGUGUCGCGCACCGGAUGAUGACUCGGAUUCGCGGGUUUUCCCGAAUUUCCAGCGUGUUGAGAAAUAGAGGUCAAGAGCGAGAUAGCUUCCAGGUUGUCAAACACUCUUACGAUCACCGAGCACGUUUUCUUAACAGGUUAUGAGCCACCACGCUUGAUCCAGGGGCGCAGCACCCUCGCCUCUAGUAUCUUUCCGCAGCAUCACAAGGGUGCCAUCGCGGCGUGCUGCCAUCGGCGUGAGAGUCGGUUUCCCGUCUUCUCCUCAAAAGACGGACCUUCGGAGACCUUCGAAGAAUUUCGAUCGCCGAUCUUCGGAGACUCCCUCGCGGUGCUUCAUCGUGUACCCGGGUGCUCUCGUGGUCUUCACUCUCAUCCAUCCUCUCUGGCAGCGCGACAAGGGGGCGCCUCAUCAUUCGUGGCAUUCCUCGUGUCCCGCUGUCUUCGAGACCCCGAUCGGAUAAGACGACCACAUUUCAACAGGAUAAGGGACUUCGUGCGUGCGCUCAGAUCGAGAGCCACAGCACCUCCCUCACGUUUCCACAGCUGCGUUGAGCCGAUGCAGACCCCGGGUACACGAUCAAGCACGCGGAAAGCCGCCGCCACGGCGCAAUAAUGAAGCCGCCAUCGUUGGCGCCAUGGUACGAUCACCGACGAUCCGAUCCUGAACCGAGCGCAACAAGCCACCCCGCCAUGGUGCAAAAAUGGCAAAAGUCGCCACACGUGCCCGCGCAACGAGUCGCCACGUGUGCCAGCGCAGUCAGAAGUCGCCACAUGUGCCCGCGCAACGAGUCGCCGCAUGUGACAGCGCAACCAGAAGCCGCAGUUCAGGGUCGUACACGCCAUACCUUGGCGCCACAGGUGGCGGCUUCAGAGACCAAAUCAUCUGACCGUAACCUUUUCUGUCACAAAUCUAGAUUCGGUAUUUCGCGAACAUUGCGGAUGCCGCGUAGCUCUGCUACACAUUUGAAGCAUAUCACUCUCGAUGGACUCUUGCUUCGUCCGCAUCCAUCUUAUCCUCAACCUUUCUGCCGUCUCAGAUGGCUACUGACGAGGGGGUGUGUUGAGAAAUAGAGGUCAAGAGCGAGAUAGCUUCCAGGUUGUCAAACACUCUUACGAUCACCGAGCACGUUUUCUUAACACAGCGAAUUUCAGAUAUUCUAUCAGACGUUCCGUGCGAGUCACUCUAUGCUACGCGCGCCGCGACUCACGCCCGCCGGCGUUUCUUCUAAGCGAUUCUAAGUUGAACGUGACACCCAACAGCUAUGGGUAAUGAUCCUGUGGGCAAUAGUCCAGCGGCGGCGGCUUGUACGAGCUCUUCACGAACGUCGUCAUGUCCAGCGCGAGCACUUCGAUGCUGUCGACGUAUUCGAAGAACUCGCUCUUCUCGAGCCAAAACACGCCGUCGUCCUC